rnacentral:rRNA from 1 species
UUGACCUCGGAUCAGGUAGGACUACCCGCUGAACUUAAGCAUAUCAAUAAGCGGAGGAAAAGAAACCAACAGGGAUUGCCCCAGUAACGGCGAGUGAAGCGGCAACAGCUCAGAUUUGGAAUCUGGCCCCCAGGGCCCGAGUUGUAAUCUGGAGAGGAUGCUUCUGGCGCGGCGCCUUCCGAGUUCCCUGGAACGGGACGCCGGAGAGGGUGAGAGCCCCGUACGGUUGGACGCCUAGCCUUUGUGAAGCUCCUUCGACGAGUCGAGUAGUUUGGGAAUGCUGCUCAAAAUGGGAGGUAAAUUUCUUCUAAAGCUAAAUACCGGCCAGAGACCGAUAGCGCACAAGUAGAGUGAUCGAAAGAUGAAAAGCACUUUGAAAAGAGGGUCAAACAGUACGUGAAAUUGUUGAAAGGGAAGCGCCCGUGGCCAGACUUGUGCCCCGCGGACCACCCGGCGCCCUCAGCGCCGGUGCACUCCGCGGGGCGCAGGCCAGCAUCGGUUUUCCUAGGGGGAUAAAGGCGGCGGGAACGUGGCUCCUUCGGGAGUGUUAUAGCCCGUCGUGCCAUGCCCCUGGGGGGACCGAGGACCGCGCUUCGGCAAGGAUGCUGGCGUAAUGGCCACCGGCGACCCGUCUUGAAACACGGACCAAGGAGUCAAGCAUUGGGGCGAGUGUC